UUCCCAGUGUAUUUAAACCCUGUGUUUCUCUGAGUCUGUGUCGCGUCGUCCCUCAAGCUGUGUGUUUCCUUGUGUGCCUCCCCGUCAAAUGUAAGUUUAUAUUUCCCAGUUUAGUUUUGUAUGCUUUCCCCCUGCCAGCAAUAAAGCUGAGUUUUGAGUUCAUCCUUCGAGUCUGAGUGUCUGCACCUUGGGUCCUACUCCUGCCUGCCACACAGCGUUUCAUGACAAUAAGAAAUACACAAGAGGAGCUUUACAGAUGUGCCACACAAUUCUAAGGAAGGAAGAGAGCCGUGCCCAGCCACAGAUGUGCAACUCUGAUUGAUUCCAGGUAACAGCUCAGCUUUUUCUCCUUACCAAGUGCAUCAAGUUUGGACUUGCUGAACAGAGUCGUGAAGAUCAGGACAUCACUGCACUGAAUAAAUGAUUAAGAGAUUUCAAAUAGGACUCCACAGUCAUUGACUGCAUCAAUCAAACUGCAGGAAAGUUGGAGAACCAGAAAAGAUUUGAAGAAUCCUCAGAAAUAUUGUUUGGAAAAUUACUUAUUUGAUGUGUUUUACACUGGGCAGUCUCAUGCUUUACUUUUACUCACUCUGUGCUGUUUUAUGUGACAUGUCUGAGCUUGUGUGGUGUUUUCAGUUCCCAAUAAACCCUGGAUUAAAUGGGUGGAGAAAAAAUUAAGAAAAGCCAAGGACCUUUUGAAGCCACACAGCACGAGUUAAGACAAGAACACAUAGAGAAAGUCUGGGGUGUGGAGACAAGAUUCUUUAUUCUCUGACAAAUUUCAACAAACUAGUUUGAGAGAGAGGAGAUGAAGAGAGCAGCAUAUUAAGACAGUGGAGAAGAGGUGAAGGUAGAAAGUGUGUGUGAGCUGAUGUGGAUGUGAAUUAAGCAUCAUGGAUCAGUGUGA